CUUGCUCCUGGAUUCAGCGGCGGACGGGUGAGUAAUGCCUAGGAAUCUGCCUGGUAGUGGGGGAUAACGUCCGGAAACGGGCGCUAAUACCGCAUACGUCCUGAGGGAGAAAGUGGGGGAUCUUCGGACCUCACGCUAUCAGAUGAGCCUAGGUCGGAUUAGCUAGUUGGUGGGGUAAAGGCCUACCAAGGCGACGAUCCGUAACUGGUCUGAGAGGAUGAUCAGUCACACUGGAACUGAGACACGGUCCAGACUCCUACGGGAGGCAGCAGUGGGGAAUAUUGGACAAUGGGCGAAAGCCUGAUCCAGCCAUGCCGCGUGUGUGAAGAAGGUCUUCGGAUUGUAAAGCACUUUAAGUUGGGAGGAAGGGCAGUAAGUUAAUACCUUGCUGUUUUGACGUUACCAACAGAAUAAGCACCGGCUAACUUCGUGCCAGCAGCCGCGGUAAUACGAAGGGUGCAAGCGUUAAUCGGAAUUACUGGGCGUAAAGCGCGCGUAGGUGGUUCAGCAAGUUGGAUGUGAAAUCCCCGGGCUCAACCUGGGAACUGCAUCCAAAACUACUGAGCUAGAGUACGGUAGAGGGUGGUGGAAUUUCCUGUGUAGCGGUGAAAUGCGUAGAU
rnacentral:rRNA from 1 species